CGAAGGUUGGCUAAUCCUGGUCGGACAUCAGGAGGUUAGUGCAAUGGCAUAAGCCAGCUUGACUGCGAGCGUGACGGCGCGAGCAGGUGCGAAAGCAGGUCAUAGUGAUCCGGUGGUUCUGAAUGGAAGGGCCAUCGCUCAACGGAUAAAAGGUACUCCGGGGAUAACAGGCUGAUACCGCCCAAGAGUUCAUAUCGACGGCGGUGUUUGGCACCUCGAUGUCGGCUCAUCACAUCCUGGGGCUGAAGUAGGUCCCAAGGGUAUGGCUGUUCGCCAUUUAAAGUGGUACGCGAGCUGGGUUUAGAACGUCGUGAGACAGUUCGGUCCCUAUCUGCCGUGGGCGCUGGAGAACUGAGGGGGGCUGCUCCUAGUACGAGAGGACCGGAGUGGACGCAUCACUGGUGUUCGGGUUGUCAUGCCAAUGGCACUGCCCGGUAGCUAAAUGCGGAAGAGAUAAGUGCUGAAAGCAUCUAAGCACGAAACUUGCCCC
rnacentral:rRNA from 1 species